AUGAAAAUUGGGUAGUUUUUCCACCUGUGUGGAUAGGGUAAGCCUAUUAAUACAACAACUAGAGAAACAGCAUCAAUCUGAUUAAAUUAUUUGUAUACAUCACAAUAGGUAUUUUUAUCAGAAGAAUCAAGGCUGUACGUCCCAUGAACCCAACUCCCUCCGCCCUCCUGAAGAUCGCAGUCAGCUGAUGAAAAGUGUUUUGAGAAAGUUCGCUGGCGGAGCAAAGCUACGAAGCGACAGAGGGUUUCCUGGUGAGCUCGCAACCAACCAGCGGCAAACGAGCGUCAUCACUCCCUUUAAUUUCACAACACGCGUGCAAAAAUGUGGACGGAGGUGAAAAACCAGACCAAAAUUGUAUUUAGCGAUGGAAACACAUCGGAGAGAGCUGUUCCAAUGCACACAUGGGUCCUCGCUACAUAUGAGCAGCGCAAUGAGUCAACGACCAUCCCUCGUCCCUCAUAUACAGAAGGCCCCCAGGCCAGAGGCAGUGGCAUCAUCCCAGGGUUUCAGUUGGAACAUGCUCAAUAUUUCCCUGGUGGAAAAUAAAGACACUUAAUCAGACACGUGUCAGGUGGUCAGACCCAGGCAGGCCAGAGGUUUGGAAGACAGCGUGACAUUCCGCUAGCCACGGUAAUGGAGCCAUUGCAGCAGCAGUGUUCAUUGGUUUCGUACUGGGUCUCUAUGCAGUUCUGUGGAAGUGUAUGGUCUCACCACCCCAAAGGAAGAAGAGGAGGGUGAGGGUUCGAGACAAGAGGAGCCAAGUAUGCUGACUGACCAUCAGGAUCUCAUCUAGGCCAUCUGGCCAGAGGAUCCAGUGGAUCCAACUCAUGCAUCAAACCCCGGCCAGUCAAACGGACCCGAAAAGAUCCACUCAUACUGACUUGAGUCUCUCAUCAGGAUGUUCCUGGACAUCAGAGAGGAAAUGGAGAUUCAGAAACAUUUGCAUAGAGCUAGAGGAUGGCAUAUUAUGGAUCUAGCAUAUCAUGGUCAGAGGAUGGACCAGAUUCUAAGGAUCCGGUCAAAUGGAUCUAAAAGGAUCUUCUAAAUUGCCUUACGAGGAUCCACUCAAAUGGCUAAAGGAUCCAACUGAAGUGCAUCAGAGAGCAUGAACAAACAAUCUAAAUCAGUUAAGCUGGGGUCUGCAGACCCAUCAAAUGUAAACAUUUUUGUAUGUAAUUUAAAAAAAUAUAUAUCUGAAUAUUACUAACAGGUUAAACAUAUUUUUGCAAGGGAUCUGUUGAAUUAGUUUAGAGUGUAAUACAAUAAAAUGUCAUAUUAUUAAUAUACAAUUUAUGUUAAACCCUGGACAACAUGGGCCUGGGAGGCUCACAGGGAUAUUGGCAUCUACAGUACUCCACCAAUUAUACAUUUUUCAGCUCAAUAA